rnacentral:RNase_P_RNA from 1 species
ACCGCAGACCGCCUUAUCGCUGUUCAGUAAUGAAGAGAGGAAAGUCCGGACACCAAAGAGUAGCAUAUUGGGUAACGCCCAACCGUUGAAAGGCGAGGACAAGUGCAACAGAAAGUAUGUACAGGUUAAGCUGUAGUGAAACCAGGUAAACUCUAUGCGGUGAAAUUUCAAGUAUAUCGACAUUUAAGGGUUACUCGUCCGUUGUCGAAGGGUAGAAAGAUGGAUUCCGAGAGUAAUUUCGGAACUAGAUAAAUGAUAAGGCAUUUUCGUAAGAAAGUGACAGAAUCCGGCUUAUAGGUCUGCUUUUUUU